UUAAGUUCACUCGCUCUAUAUAUUCAGAAGCCCUAUAAAUACAUAAGUUACAUUGAACAUAAUGAAAGUUGUGGAGGGUAGCUUAUGAAAGCUCUUACUCCAAGCAAAUAGUAAUAUUUAGUUGCAUGCAUGGGUGCCAUGUAGAGCAUGCAUGAAGAGGUAAAAUGUUCACAAUGCAGCCAAGGAUGACUUGCCGGAUUUUAUUAAUAUUAGCAUAAUGUUAUAAUAUGUGUCGGCAAGUUGUCCUUGGCUACAUUGGGUUCUUUUCUUUUUCAUGUAUGCUCUAAUUUGGUUUUAUUAUCUAAUGAUUAGUUCCUAAUUAAUCAAGCUAGGAAAAACAACCAUGCAUGCAUGAUGAUCACUAGGACCCGCUAUGAUGAUCGAAUCGAUAAUGAGUGAUUAAUGCAAAUCGAUCAAUAAUUAGCAGAGAAAAAUAAUAAGGGCCGGAGGCUAUGAGUGAAAGAGGAACUUGGAGGACGCUUUCUUGAAGCCGCGCCAUAUCGCGCGGAUGAUGGGUCCUUGCCCGCACCCUAGCAGUUUCAACUCAGCAAAACCUGCGAGUGCGGGUUCCUGCACGGCUGAAUCUUUGUUUUUGUUUCUAGGUCGUUUUUAGAUCGACGUAAUUUGUUUAUGAUCUUUGGAUUGUAAUAUGUACCCUAACACUAUAUAUACUCAUUGUAUGUCAUAUCUAGAAAUAAGUUGUUGAUUUAAGAGAAAAAAAUUACUCAUAGAAUUAAAGCUCAUACACUAAUUAAAGUUUAAGUGAGAGAAAGUCGUGAGGUGAAGUUUGCUUAGCUUGAUAAUCUCUUUGUAAAUUGAUCUUUAAAUUAUCAUAAUUUCUAGUGGAUUGAUGGGUUCUCCUUCCGA